CCGACCCGUCUUGAAACACGGACCAAGGAGUCUGACAUGCGUGCGAGUCGACGGGUUUUGAAACCUGGGAUGCGCAAGGAAGCUGACGAGCGGGAGGCCCUCACGGGCCGCACCGCUGGCCGACCCUGAUCUUCUGUGAAGGGUUCCGGUUGGAGCACGCCUGUCGGGACCCGAAAGAUGGUGAACUAUGCCUGAGCGGGGCGAAGCCAGAGGAAACUCUGGUGGAGGCUCGAAGCGAUACUGACGUGCAAAUCGUUCGUCUGACUUGGGUAUAGGGG
rnacentral:ncRNA from 1 species